rnacentral:rRNA from 1 species
UCGAGCGGUAGAGAGAAGCUUGCUUCUCUUGAGAGCGGCGGACGGGUGAGUAAUGCCUAGGAAUCUGCCUGGUAGUGGGGGAUAACGUUCGGAAACGGACGCUAAUACCGCAUACGUCCUACGGGAGUAUAGCGGGGGACCUUCGGGCCUUGCGCUAUCAGAUGAGCCUAGGUCUUUAUUAGCUAGUUGGUGAGGUAAUGGCUCACCAAGGCGACGAUCCGUAACUGGUCUGAGAGGAUGAUCAGUCACACUGGAACUGAGACACGGUCCAGACUCCUACGGGAGGCAGCAGUGGGGAAUAUUGGACAAUGGGCGAAAGCCUGAUCCAGCCAUGCCGCGUGUGUGAAGAAGGUCUUCGGAUUGUAAAGCACUUUAAGUUGGGAGGAAGGGCAUUAACCUAAUACGUUAGUGUUUUGACGUUACCGACAGAAUAAGCACCGGCUAACUCUGUGCCAGCAGCCGCGGUAAUACAGAGGGUGCAAGCGUUAAUCGGAAUUACUGGGCGUAAAGCGCGCGUAGGUGGUUUGUUAAGUUGGAUGUGAAAAUCCCCGGGCU